CUAGUCCAGUCCCCUGUCCUGAGCAUGGUCAGUCAAAGCAAGUUACCAAGGACAAUGCCCAGAGAGAUGUAUUUCCCUGGAGUUUUGCUGCUGCUGGAAUGUCACUUGGCAUGCCAAGAGCAUUAUGUCCAUUGCACAGGAGCUGACUGCAUUUAUUAACACUUAUCAUUAAUAUUAAGCAUACCA